rnacentral:rRNA from 1 species
GGGGAAUUUUCCGCAAUGGGCGAAAGCCUGACGGAGCAAGACCGCGUGAGGGAGGAAGGCCUUUGGGUUGUAAACCUCUUUUCUCAGGGAAGAAGUUCUGACGGUACCUGAGGAAUCAGCAUCGGCUAACUCCGUGCCAGCAGCCGCGGUAAGACGGAGGAUGCAAGCGUUAUCCGGAAUUAUUGGGCGUAAAGCGUCCGUAGACGGUUUAUCAAGUCUGCCGUUAAAGACUGCAGCUCAACUGUGGGCGAGCGGUGGAAACUGAUUAACUAGAGUGUGGUAGGGGUAGAGGGAAUUCCCAGUGUAGCGGUGAAAUGCGUAGAUAUUGGGAAGAACACCAGUGGCGAAGGCGCUCUACUGGGCCACAACUGACGCUGAGGGACGAAAGCUAGGG